GGGGAAUCUUGGACAAUGGGCGCAAGCCUGAUCCAGCCAUGCCGCGUGAGUGAAGAAGGCCUUAGGGUUGUAAAGCUCUUUUGGCAGGGACGAUAAUGACGGUACCCGCAGAAUAAGCCCCGGCAAACUUCGUGCCAGCAGCCGCGGUAAUACGAAGGGGGCUAGCGUUGUUCGGAUUUACUGGGCGUAGAGCGCACGUAGGCGGAUUGUUAAGUCAGGGGUGAAAUCCCGGAGCUCAACUCCGGAACUGCCUUUGAUACUGGCAAUCUUGAGGCUGGAAGAGGUUGGUAGAAUUCCCAGUGUAGAGGUGAAAUUCGUAGAUAUUGGGAAGAAUACCAGUGGCGAAGGCGGCCAACUGGUCCAGAUCUGACGCUGAGGUGCGAAAGCGUGGGGAGCAAACA
rnacentral:rRNA from 1 species